rnacentral:snoRNA from 1 species
UGCAGCUGUGUCAAAUUCAUUGCCCGCAUUUCCUGUGGUGGGGAGUGGUCCAAACAGCUGCCACAGCAAGUUCUGUAGUUCAUGGGCCUCAGAAUUCUUUGUGGGUUCUGGGGAUAGUUUUUCUGCAGACACCU